GCUCUCGUCGUUCAACGGAUAGGACACCUCCCUCCGAAGGAGGCGAUACAGGUUCAAUUCCUGUCGAGAGCA
rnacentral:tRNA from 1 species